rnacentral:rRNA from 1 species
AAAACUUUCAACAAAGGAUCUCUUGGUUCUCGCAUCGAUAAAACGCAGCGAAAUGCGAUAAGUAGUGUGAAUUGCAGAAUUCCGUGAAUCAUCGAAUCUUUGAACGCACAUUGCGCCUCCUGGUAAUCCGUGAGGCAUGCCUGUUCGAGCGUCACCA